CAGAAGCUCUAAAGGAAAAAGACGUUGAUUAUCUUUCUUCCAUAGAAAUCUUAAUCAUUGACCACGCAGAUGUUAUGUUGAUGCAGAAUUGGUCCCAUGUGAAUACUGUUGUUGAACAACUGAAUAAGCUGCCAUGUAAGCAACAUGGAA